AUGCAAAGCGGCCCACCACACUGUAUAAAACUAUGCGUGACUUCCGCUCAGCCUCUCAGUCCACUGCCGCCGUGUUAACAUGACGUCUGUGCAACUCCUCGCUCAGUCCGAGACGCUGUGUGUACUGGUGAACAAAUGCUGUGACAGUGUGGCAGACCCAGGGUAGUGCCUGUGCUCCUGCUUUGCUUUGAAGUCUUGAGGCAGAGCCUCUGAUCUGCUCACCAUGGAGCUGACAGUUGUGCUGCAGGCUGACUGAAGGAGCAUGUGGGGCAGCUGGCCUGCAGGGGGCAGCAAACACAGGAGGAACAGUGACUGUUAUCAGUGUGCUGAGUGAAGUCCUGCUGCUCUGGUCUGGAGGAGUGGAUAAGAUCCUGUGCCAGUCCACGUGCUGGGGUGCUGACAGUUAUCAGUGCACUCCCAUGUUUCAGCCAUGUUUGCUCAACUUGAUUGAGGCUGUAAAUCGAUCUUGUGGUAUAAAUGUCGGUGCAUAAUGUCCUGAAGGAAACAGUCAGGCUGAUAUGUUGAUACUGGAAUGUAAAAUGUGUGGUCUUGAAUUAAGUCAUUACAGCUGUUGGAAUUAAAUUUGAUGUUGCAGCA